CCCCAGCAAGGAGAUCAAGAUUGUCUCUGCGGUCAGACGGAGUAGCAUGAGCAGCUGUGGCAGCAGCGGGUACUUCAGCACCAGUCCGACCCUCGGCAGCAGCCCACCUGUCCUCUGCAACCCAAAAUCUGUACUAAAAAGAACAGUGACUCCUGAGGAACUUUUGAGGCCUGGGGCGCCAUAUGCUCGGAAAACAUUCACUAUUAUAGGUGAUGCUGUUGGGUGGGGAUUUGUGGUGCGAGGGACUAAGCCCUGCCACGUGCAAGCAGUGGAUCCCAGUGGGCCAGCAGCUGCAUCGGGAAU